UGGCGGACGGGUGAGUAAUGUCUGGGAAACUGCCUGAUGGAGGGGGGAGUAACACUUUGGAAACGGUAGCUAAUACCGCAUAACGUCGCAAGACCAAAGAGGGGGACCCUCGGGCCUCUUGCCAUCGGAUGUGCCCAGAUGGGAUUAGCUUGUUGGUGGGGUAACGGCUCACCAAGGCGACGAUCCCUAGCUGGUCUGAGAGGAUGACCAGCCACACUGGAACUGAGACACGGUCCAGACUCCUACGGGAGGCAGCAUG
rnacentral:rRNA from 1 species